AAGAGCAAAGGCAAACCCAGGAAACUCGUUUUUUGGAUGGUGACAAGUGUCCAGGGUUGGUGACACUUGUCACCACUAUCCUCACACUUUCAUCAGCCAUAUUAAAACAAAAAUGGGAAAAUAAAACAUCAUUCUUCAAGAGUUUUUCUCUCUCUAACUCCUAAAGCAGAUGUACGCUCUGCAAUUACACACACUCUCUCUUUGACCUACCUGCCGGAGAAGAAGGUGGCAGGCGGCCAUCCACGGUGGCGCCGCCCCUCUACUCCGGCGAACAAACAAAAAUUUCACCUUCCCCAUUAAAAUACUCUCCUGAGUUUGAAUCUAAACUCAGAUUCUUCACCACUAUCCCUAAUCGUCCGGAUCGGGGACGUCUAACUAAAACCCUAAGACCAAAAUCGAAUCAACAAUAGUGAAGGUCUCCCCCAAUUAAACAUGGAUUCCUCUCAAGUCUGCAAGGUGAGUACAAAAGUGAAGCGGAGGAAAGAAAAGAAGAGAUAAAGGAGAGAGGUGUAUACUACCUCGGAAUUAGUCUAAAGGGCGCACCUCCGACGAGCUUAGGUGAAGUGAUGUUGAUGCUGAUUGAUUGAAAAAGGGGCACUGUUAUUCAACAGGUUUUUUGGAAAAGUUCUGAAGAGUUGCUUUUGAAUUGGGAACUUCCAAAAGAGCUUUUGGAAGAGUCUGUGAAAUUUGCUUCAAACUGCUGUGUUUACAGCUUAUUCCAAUUUUUUAAAUAAAAUUAUUUCUGAUGUAACAGAGACUUUUUGGAUUAUGAACUUAGGGAUUGCUUGUAACAUGUACAAACUUAAUUUGGAAUUUCUCUUUUUGGGCAGUUAUGUAAUUGUUUUGGAUUAUGAAGAAUUUUUGGAUUAGUUAGGAUAUAUUAAACUGUAAGAAAAAUUGGGUUAGACGUGUAACCCUUUGGAUCAUUUGCAAAAUUUACAUAAUUUUAAUUUAAGUUUUUUUUGUUAUUUAUGUGGAUACUUUUGGGUUGUUAUGUAACAUUUGGAUUAAAUUGGAAUAUCACUUGGAGCAUUAUUUGGAA